rnacentral:lncRNA from 1 species
UUAAGCCAUGAUGUCUACAAUUCAUCCGGUUUUAUCAUGUGAACCGGGUCAAACAACCCAUGUCCCAGCUUUCGAAACCGGGUUCACUCCAUGGGACAAUUCACACCUCUUCUCGGUCUUCGACUCAUCAAUGAAUAUAAUACCUCACUCGGUUCAUGAGUACCUAAGCCCUGAUUCGGUAAACCGGUCUGGUCCAGACGUUGUUCCAACAGAUAGUUAUACAGAUGAGCGGAGAAAGAAACGGAAGUUAUCGAACCGGGAAUCGGCUAGGCGGUCAAGGGUGAAGAAACAAAAGCACUUGGAGGAGAUGAAUAUCCAGCUAAACCAGCUCAAGAUUGAGAACCGGGAAUUAGAAAACCAGAUCCGGUACGUUUUACAACAUUUUCAACGAACAGAGACGGAGAAUAAUCGUCUGCGUCUUGAACAACGUUUGCUCCAUAGUAUGGUGUUGAACAUCAGACAAGUUUUGAUGUUGCAUCAGAUCGACCGGAGCUCAGACUAUGUCACAUGGCCUUACGAUAACAAUACUCGUGUUACGGUCCAACAUGAUCCAGUUUGUGAUUUCUGAAAUUGUUUUCGAGUUUAGUAAAAUGAGAACACCUUUGUAAAAAAGUUUUUAUAAGAAAUGCAUGUAUGAUCUCUCUUGUAACGUUAACAAAUUAAAUUUCGUUUUCUUUAAUAUGUUUUCCAUUCCAUCACAUAAUUAUUUAAUCUUGUCGUGUUUAAACUUUUUGAUAAAGAAAAAGGUUACUGGCAGAAUGUGUCGCCCGCGCGAACCUUUUUCAUUCAACUGGUUCUUUUUUUUUUGUAACUUACAUUCAACGAUUUUUUUUUCAUUCCAAAUAUUACCAAUGCGGGGUUGAUCUAGUGGUUCAUGGAAGUUCGGCUCAUUAGGUUCAAUUCUUGUUGGACGGGGAUUAAACAACCGGUUCUUGUUUCCAUCUUUUAAAAUUACUUGUUUUUUUUACAUCCCGAAUGACUUGAGUUAUAAAAACACUUUGUUUGAAUAUCAUUUUCAUAUUUUCAAAAAUAGCACAAAUGAUUUAAAUGACAAUAAUUUUAAACAUUUAUAUAAGACUGAUAAUCAAUUACAGUAUACCGCAUUAAGGUGUCGUCAAAUCUUGAUCACCAACAAGUUGAUUUUGAGUCUCUAAAGACUAGUCGAAACCCUAAAAAGAACUAUGUUAACAUAAUUAGCCAUAUUUUCAAGCAUGAAAUCCAAAACAACGUCACACAAGAAACAUUGAGUUGGCUUACAUGAGAUUCCACAGCUAGCUUUCUAGUGAUUAAGAAAAUAGAACAAUUCCCGGAAAAGGAUUAAACGACGCGUGCGUGGACAAAAUAGAUGGGUCUUUGGGUCCUAUAUAUAAAAUUUGUGGUCAAAAAUAUAGAAGAAAAUAACUUUUGUCCCAAUUAUAUAAUAGUUUCUGUAAUUCAAAUUCUUAGUCGUCUAGUCCUAAUCACCUUUACUGACAUAUAUGGAUUACUGUUUUGGUCUUUAUUAAUGCAUAGGUUUAAUGCUUUUCAUAAUCAGCUUGGUAAUCCUAAUAGCAAUAUCUAUACUAACAUAAUACGGCUCGAAAAUGAUUUCUAUGAUGUAUUGCGGUCCAUCUAAUUAUGCCAAUAAAAGGACAAUAAAUAGGCGUUAUUAUUGUAAUAAUUAAGAUGACAUGACAAAUUUUCACUACAUGUUAUUUACAGGGCACGAGAUUAGAUAUAUACGCGUAUUACGGGACGAAUAAUAAGUAGGUGGAUGAUAAGGAUGGUGUGGGCCAAAUUGAUCCAUUAAUCAUGCACUUAAUCAAACCCUAAUUAGCUAAAUUAUACUUAUAUUCUUAAUAAAUACACAAGGCACGCAUAUAUGUAUAUAUAUAUAUUCAGGAGCGGAAGUUUUAGGCUCUAUCUAACCUUUCACGAUAUAUGGAGACAUGAUAGUUAUAGUUUCAGUGUUAUUAAAUUAAAAGAUUAAAAUCAAUAAUACAAAACUAAAGUUAUACUGUCUCGAUUUGUUAAAAAUUAAAUGCAUGGGAAUAUGACUCUAAAAUCAAUUAAAGUUAAGGCCAUUAUUUAGAUUAGAUAAUAAAGAUUACGGUGUAAAUUAGGACACGUGUAGAGCCACUCGCAACUUUUUCCCUACUUUUUGCACCCCAAAUGUUGGGCGUCCACGAUUAGACCUUGAAGUCGGCUUGAUUAUAAACAUUAGCUAACUUUUUAAGCCAUAAACAAAUUUUUGAAAUGUUUUCGGUAACAUUUGUUUCUGUCUUGAAUUAAGUCAUGUAGUCCAGUGGUUGUAAUAUAUACUAGAUUAUCAUUCGCGCCUUGCGCGGAAUAAACAUUAUAUAUAUAAAUUAUUUUAUGUAUUAUAUGUUCUUACAUAUUAUGAAAUAAUAAAUAUAUAUUGAAUAAUUAAAAGUCAGUAACUAUUACAUAUAUAAUUAAAUUGGUGCGAACGUAUAAAUCAAUUUUAUUAAUCCAAACAAUACAUUUUGUAUUUGCCGCAACUGAGAUUUGAUAAAAUAUAUUUAGUAAAAAAGAUAUAUUUUCCACGGUUGUAAAAUAAAAUGUUUAAGUAAUGGUCAUUCAAUUAAAGGUUUAUUUGUGGAAUAACCAAAAAAUAGUCACACUCACUAAAUACCCUUGAGUCUUUGUACAUGUCGCAUUCGUCUAACACCAUUAUAUUUACUUUGAUGUUUCAAGUUAUCAAUCCAAAGUCUUCACAAAUAUUGAUAAUUACAUAUUUUCUCAACCCAUACAUUUUGUAUUUGCCGCAACUGAGAUUUGAUAAAAUAUAUUUAGUAAAAAAGAUAUAUUUUCCACGGUUGUAAAAUAAAAUGUUUAAGUAAUGGUCAUUCAAUUAAAGGUUUAUUUGUGGAAUAACCAAAAAAUAGUCACACUCACUAAAUACCCUUGAGUCUUUGUACAUGUCGCAUUCGUCUAACACCAUUAUAUUUACUUUGAUGUUUCAAGUUAUCAAUCCAAAGUCUUCACAAAUAUUGAUAAUUACAUAUUUUCUCAACCCAUACAUUUUGUAUUUGCCGCAACUGAGAUUUGAUAAAAUAUAUUUAGUAAAAAAGAUAUAUUUUCCACGGUUGUAAAAUAAAAUGUUUAAGUAAUGGUCAUUCAAUUAAAGGUUUAUUUGUGGAAUAACCAAAAAAUAGUCACACUCACUAAAUACCCUUGAGUCUUUGUACAUGUCGCAUUCGUCUAACACCAUUAUAUUUACUUUGAUGUUUCAAGUUAUCAAUCCAAAGUCUUCACAAAUAUUGAUAAUUACAUAUUUUCUCAACCCAUACAUUUUGUAUUUGCCGCAACUGAGAUUUGAUAAAAUAUAUUUAGUAAAAAAGAUAUAUUUUCCACGGUUGUAAAAUAAAAUGUUUAAGUAAUGGUCAUUCAAUUAAAGGUUUAUUUGUGGAAUAACCAAAAAAUAGUCACACUCACUAAAUACCCUUGAGUCUUUGUACAUGUCGCAUUCGUCUAACACCAUUAUAUUUACUUUGAUGUUUCAAGUUAUCAAUCCAAAGUCUUCACAAAUAUUGAUAAUUACAUAUUUUCUCAACCCAUACAUUUUGUAUUUGCCGCAACUGAGAUUUGAUAAAAUAUAUUUAGUAAAAAAGAUAUAUUUUCCACGGUUGUAAAAUAAAAUGUUUAAGUAAUGGUCAUUCAAUUAAAGGUUUAUUUGUGGAAUAACCAAAAAAUAGUCACACUCACUAAAUACCCUUGAGUCUUUGUACAUGUCGCAUUCGUCUAACACCAUUAUAUUUACUUUGAUGUUUCAAGUUAUCAAUCCAAAGUCUUCACAAAUAUUGAUAAUUACAUAUUUUCUCAACCCAUACAUUUUGUAUUUGCCGCAACUGAGAUUUGAUAAAAUAUAUUUAGUAAAAAAGAUAUAUUUUCCACGGUUGUAAAAUAAAAUGUUUAAGUAAUGGUCAUUCAAUUAAAGGUUUAUUUGUGGAAUAACCAAAAAAUAGUCACACUCACUAAAUACCCUUGAGUCUUUGUACAUGUCGCAUUCGUCUAACACCAUUAUAUUUACUUUGAUGUUUCAAGUUAUCAAUCCAAAGUCUUCACAAAUAUUGAUAAUUACAUAUUUUCUCAACCCAUACAUUUUGUAUUUGCCGCAACUGAGAUUUGAUAAAAUAUAUUUAGUAAAAAAGAUUUGAUAAAACCAAGAAGUUUUGGGCUAGCGGUAAAAAGAUUCCAACUGGAACUUCUACCAUAGGUUCGAUACAUUUUGGCCACCUAAUUUUGUAAUAUCGAUGAAUUAAUUGCAUACUCAGAUACAAGGUCUCAUGGGAUUAGUCUUCAAGUCUAGAAAGUUUCCGAAAUCUUCUACGAUUGUAAAAUAAAAUGUUUAAGUAAUGGUCAUUCAAUUAAAGGUUUAUUUAUGGAAUAACCAAAAAAUAAGAAAUUAGUGUUUUAGAGAGAGAUGAAAAAAGAGAUACGAAGAGAAAAGAGGAAAGAGAGUGAAAUUUUAGUUAGAUAGUGAAUUAUGUUUUUUUGUGUUAUUGAGCUUAAUUUUCCUUCAAUUAAAUACGUUAAUUAGACAUCUAUUAUGUUACUUAUAACUUAUAAAAAUAAUAAUUUUUUGGUCAACUUAUAAAAAAUAUUUUAAAAAAUAAUUUCAAUUGAGAAAAUGAAGCCUGGCAUUCUAAUUUACUUUUGAGCAAGAUAUAAUCAUACAAUCGACACGUGUCUUCCUCCUGAUGCGACGCACUUUUUCUCUUUUGGUCUUUCUAAUUUCUAUGAAAAAAAUGAAAAAAAGAGGGAAAAUUAAGAAAAAGCCCCAUCGAUUUUUACUAAUAUCUGACCAGAAUAACCUCAUGGGAGUCCCAUUACCCGUCCAUAAAUAUGGGCUUCCAACACUGCAAUUCUUCCCUUUUCUCCUUCUAAUCUCACUCUUUAUAUAUUUGGAAGAUUUUUUUUUAAUUGUCUUUUUUCUUUGGUUAAGCCAUGAUGUCUACAAUUCAUCCGGUUUUAUCAUGUGAACCGGGUCAAACAACCCAUGUCCCAGCUUUCGAAACCGGGUUCACUCCAUGGGACAAUUCACACCUCUUCUCGGUCUUCGACUCAUCAAUGAAUAUAAUACCUCACUCGGUUCAUGAGUACCUAAGCCCUGAUUCGGUAAACCGGUCUGGUCCAGACGUUGUUCCAACAGAUAGUUAUACAGAUGAGCGGAGAAAGAAACGGAAGUUAUCGAACCGGGAAUCGGCUAGGCGGUCAAGGGUGAAGAA